rnacentral:rRNA from 1 species
AGCGAACGCUGGCGGCAGGCUUAACACAUGCAAGUCGAGCGGUCGUAGCAAUACGGCAGCGUCAGACGGGAGAGUAACACGUGGGAACGUACGCUUCAGUACGGAACAACCAAGGGAAACUUUGGCUAAUACCGUAUACGUCCGUCAGGAGCAAGAUUUAUCGCGGGAGGAUCGGCCCGCGUCUGUUUAGCUAGUUGGUGAGGUAACGGCUCACUAAGGCGACGAUAAGUAGCUGGGCUGAGAGGAUGAACAGCGUCACUGGGCCUGAGACACGGCCCAGACUCCUACGGGAGGCAGCAGUGGGGAAUAUUGGACAAUGGGCGCAAGCCUGAUCCAGCCAUGCCGCGUGGAUGAUGAAGGCCCUAGGGUUGGAAAGACCUUUUAACGGGGAAGAUAAUGACGGUACCCGUAGAAUAAGCCCCGGCUAACUUCGUGCCAGCCGCCGCGGUAA